rnacentral:rRNA from 1 species
UACGUAGGCGGGCAAUUAAGUCAGAGGUGAAAUCCCACAGCUCAACUGUGGAACUGCCUUUGAUACUGGUUGUCUUGAGUUACAGUGAAGUAGAUAGAAUAUGUAGUGUAGCGGUGAAAUGCAUAGAUAUUACAUAGAAUACCGAUUGCGAAGGCAGUCUACUAACUGUAUACUGACGCUAAUGGACGAAAGCGUGGGGAGCGAACAGGAUUAGAUACCCUGGUAGUCC